CCCAGACACUAGAGAUCCUACCCCAGAGCCAGAGCCUGCCACAGCCCCAGACACUAGAGAUCCCGCCCCACAGACUGAUACUGCCCAACAGUCCACCUCAGAAAUGGACUACCCAAACUGGGUGGGGGUACUGGCAAAAGGGAUGCAGGAGAUGUGCCAAGAGAUGGGUCAGGUGCGCCAGGGGAUAUGCCAGGAGAUGGGCCAGGUGCGCAAGGAGAUGUGCCAGGAGAUGGGCCAGGUGCGCCAGGAGAUAUGCCAAUUGCUAAGGGAAUACACCUCCUCAGCUAGUGAAAAACCCUCUCCCUGCCCCAAAGAGGGUGAGUCCGAUGGUGCAGCAGUGGAACCCACGGAUGUUACAACCAUCCAGGCUUCAGCUGAACCACAAGGACAACCACAGCCAGCAGCAGUCGCCCCUGUGCAAAGGAGGAAGUAUAAGACCAAAUCAGUACGACCAGUCAAUGAUGAUGGGCAACCAGGGCCCUCACAACCAGCAGGAGAGCCAGAGCCAGAAGUCAUCACUGAGUCCCUGUCGCACGACAGUCUCCGUGCUAUGCGAAACGACAUUGUGCGAAGGGGGCGUGAGCCUUAUACCACCUGGCUGCUUCGGGUUUGGGACCUUAUGGGCACAAGUGUGCAACUGGAUAGUGGUGAGGCAAGGUAUCUGGGAUCGUUGACCCAGGACCCAGGUGUGGACCAGAUAUUUGUGAGGGAGCCAGGGCCUCUCUCUCUUUGGGAGCGGCUCUUAAUGAGUGUGAGAGAAAGGUUCAUUCACAAAGAAAGAAUGCAGGAGUAUCAUCAUAGAAUGCAGUGGAAGACACUCGAGCAAGGGAUCCAACAGCUAAGAGAGGUGGCAAUAUUAGAGGUACUCUUUGGGAAGGAUGGACAGCAUGAUAAUGACCCCGAUAAGGUCAGGUGCACAGGACAGAUGAUGUGGAACCUGGCAAGGCUAGGGCCAUCACAAUACACCACCUUCAUUGCAACGAUUGAUGCUGACAAUACCCGAGAAACAGUGGGCUCUGUUGCCAACAGGCUCAGGC
rnacentral:lncRNA from 1 species